UACAGAGGUGGCAAGCGUUGUUCGGAAUUACUGGGCGUAAAGCGGGUGUAGGCGGUUCUUUAAGUCAGAUGUGAAAUCCUGCGGCUCAACCGCGGAACUGCAUCUGAUACUGGGGAACUUGAGGACGGUAGAGGUCGGUGGAAUCCCCGGUGUACCGGUGAAAUGGGCAGAUAUCGGGGGGAACACCAGUGGCGAAGGCGGCCGACUGGGCCGAUCCUGACGCUGAGACCCGAAAGCCAGGGUAGCGAACCGG
rnacentral:rRNA from 1 species